AGUCUUACAGCUAGCCCAACCCCCUAUGACAAAUAUUACACUAUAAAUAUAACCCAAAUUAUCUAAAGACAAUAAAGCAAAUCAUUUUCCCCUCCAAGUAUAGGAGAUAGAAAAGAGGCCUACGGCGCAAUAAAGAAAGUACCGCAAGGGAAAGCUGAAAGAGAAAUGAAACAACCCAGCAAAACUUUAAAAAGCAGAGAUAAGCCCUCGUACCUUUUGCAUCAUGAUUUAGCCAGCAAAAUUUAAGCAAAGCGCACUUUAGUUUAAACCCCCGAAACUAAGUGAGCUACUUCAAGACAGCCUAUAGUAAGGGCGCACCCUUCUCUGUGGCAAAAGAGUGGGAUGAUCUUCGAGUAGCGGUGACAGACCUACCGAACUUAGUUAUAGCUGGUUGCUUGAGAAGUGGAUAGGAGUUCAGCCUUCUUGGUUCUCCCCUCAAUUGGGCACGUGCCCCAACACGUCACUUGAGAAACAAGAAGAGUUAGUCAAAGGGGGUACAGCCCCUUUGAAAAAGGACACAACCUUACUAGGAGGUUUCAGAUCACAACAAAAAAGGUCUUUGUCGAAGUGGGCUUAAAAGCAGCCAUCUCUCGUGAAAAGCGUCCAAGCUUAGAUAGUUUUCUAGAUCCUUCAAUCCCGACAAUUAAAUCUCAACCCCUAACUUUACCAAGCUAUCCCAUGCCCCCAUGGGAGUAAUCCUGCUAAUAUGAGUAAUAAGAGGACCUAGACCCUCUCCCCAGCACAAGUGUACAUCGGAACGAACCCCCACCGAAAACUAACGGCCCCAAUAAAAGAGGGAACUGAAAAGUGAAUAACAUAAACCAGAAAAAUCUCCAACAAAAAACCGUUAACCCCACACUGGUGUGCCUGAGGGGAAAGGCUAAAAAAGAAAGAAGGAACUCGGCAAACACUUAAAGCCUCGCCUGUUUACCAAAAACAUCGCCUCUUGCAAAACUAACGAAUAAGAGGUCCCGCCUGCCCGGUGACUUUAUGUUUAACGGCCGCGGUAUUUUGACCGUGCAAAGGUAGCGCAAUCACUUGUCUUUUAAAUGGAGACCUGUAUGAAUGGCAUCACGAGGGCUUAACUGUCUCCUUUCUUAGGCCAAUGAAAUUGAUCUCCCCGUGCAGAAGCGGGGAUAAUAACAUAAGACGAGAAGACCCUAUGGAGCUUUAGACACUAAGACAGCCUACGUCAAAAUACCCCUUCAUACAGAAAUGAACUAAAUAGGACCUGUCCUAAUGUCUUUGGUUGGGGCGACCCUGGGGAAAUAAAGAGCACCCAUGUGGACUGGAAACAUGUUUCCAAAACCAAGAGCAACCACUCUAAGAAGCAGAACUUCUGACCAAUCUGAUCCGGCAAAGCCGAUCAACGGACCGAGUUACCCUAGGGAUAACAGCGCGAUCCCCUUUUAGAGGCCAUAUCGACAAGGGGGCUUACGACCUCGAUGUUGGAUCAGGACAUCCUAAUGGUGCAGCCGUCAUUAAGGGUUCGUUUGUUCAACGAUUAAAGUCCUACGUGAUCUGAGUUCAGACCGGAGCAAUCCAGGUCAGUUUCUAUCUAUGACAUGACCUUUUCUAGUACGAGAGGACCGAAAAGGAAAGGCCCAUAUUAUAAGUAUGCCUUACCCCUACCCACUGAAACCAAAUAAACCGGCCAAAGGGGCAUAUUCCCGAGCCUGAGAACAUGGCAU
rnacentral:rRNA from 1 species